rnacentral:rRNA from 1 species
UACGUAGGCAGCGAGCGUUGUUCGGAGUUACUGGGCGUAAAGAGUGCGUAGGCGGUUUUCCAAGUUUGGUGUGAAAUCUCCCGGCUUAACUGGGAGGGUGCGCCGAAAACUGGAAGGCUAGAGUAUGGGAGAGGUAAGCGGAAUUCCUGGUGUAGCGGUGAAAUGCGUAGAUAUCAGGAGGAACACCGAUGGCGAAGGCAGGUCUCUGGGCCACUACUGACGCUGAGAAGCGAAAGCAUGGGGAGCGAACAGG